GGCUCGGUGGCACAGUGGUUAACACUACUACCUCACAGCAAGAAGGUCGUGGGUUUGAAUCCGGCCUGGGGCC